rnacentral:rRNA from 1 species
UACGUAGGUGGCAAGCGUUGUCCGGAAUUACUGGGCGUAAAGCGUGCGCAGGCGGCUGCUCAAGUCAGGGGUGAAAGCCCAGAGCUCAACUCUGGAAUUGCCUUUGAGACUGAGUGGCUUGAGUACGGGAGAGGUGAGUGGAAUUCCCAGUGUAGAGGUGAAAUUCGUAGAUAUUGGGAAGAACACCGGUGGCGAAGGCGGCUCACUGGCCCGUAACUGACGCUCAUGCACGACAGCGUGGGGAUCAAACAGG